UACGAAGGGGGCUAGCGUUGUUCGGAAUUACUGGGCGUAAAGCGCGUGUAGGCGGGUACUUAAGUCAGGGGUGAAAUGCCAAGGCUCAACCUUGGAACUGCCUUUGAUACUGGGGAUCUUGAGUCCGGGAGAGGUGAGUGGAACUGCGAGUGUAGAGGUGAAAUUCGUAGAUAUUCGCAAGAACACCAGUGGCGAAGGCGGGUCACUGGCCCGGAACUGACGCUGAGACGCGAAAGCGUGGGGAGCAAACAGG
rnacentral:rRNA from 1 species